CAGUAGCCGCGGUAAUACGUAGGGUGCGAGCGUUAAUCGGAAUUACUGGGCGUAAAGCGUGCGCAGGCGGUUCGUUAAGACAGAUGUGAAAUCCCCGGGCUUAACCUGGGAACUGCAUUUGUGACUGGCGAGCUAGAGUGUGGCAGAGGGGGGUAGAAUUCCACGUGUAGCAGUGAAAUGCGUAGAGAUGUGGAGGAAUACCGAUGGCGAAGGCAGCCCCCUGGGCCAAUACUGACGCUCAUGCACGAAAGCGUGGGGAGCAAACAGGAUUAGAUACCCGAGUAGUCCCUGUCUCUUAUAC
rnacentral:rRNA from 1 species